rnacentral:tRNA from 2 species
GUUUAAAUAGUUUAAAAUAAAACAUUGGUCUUGUAUACCAAAUAUAAGUAUAAUACUUUAUAAACU